UACGGGGGGGGCAAGCGUUGUUCGGAAUUACUGGGCGUAAAGGGCGCGUAGGCGGUUUGCUAAGUUGGACGUGAAAACUCUGGGCUUAACCCAGAGCCUGCAUCCAAAACUGGCAAGCUAGAGUAUUGGAGGGGGAAGUGGAAUUCCUGGUGUAGCAGUGAAAUGCGUAGAUAUCAGGAGGAACACCGGUGGCGAAGGCGGCUUCCUGGACAAUAACUGACGCUGAGGCGCGAAAGCUAGGGGAGCAAACAGG
rnacentral:rRNA from 1 species